AGAAAUGUUUUUUUUUAUAAUUUUUCUUUUCGGCAAGACUUCAUGAGACUCGUGCCUACGUACCAACAAAGUGCAAUGGAGGAUCAAAACCUCGUAGUUCGUGGUAAAAAUAACAAAGAUGUUUGUUUUUAUUCAUUUUUAAUGAAAAUAAAUUUUGUCAUUUUAAGGAGAGCACUCAACUAGCUACCAAGAACUUUGUAUCACCACGGAGAAGGGCUCCAACUUGGAUAAAGAUCGACA
rnacentral:lncRNA from 1 species